GAGGCUGGAGUGAAUGUAUUGAUUAGAUCCAUUGCACUUGUUUGCUUAUGAAAGUAGUUAGUAUUAGGGAUGAGAUUUAAUUCAAACUGAAAAAAUCUCAAAGCUUAUAUGCUUUUGGCGAAGUUGAUGUCACCUACAUUAUGUUGAUUUGUGCAGGUCAGAAGUUAUAGGUGAGCUAAAAGGGGAAAGAAAUGAAGAAUUGUCCCAAUUCAAAGCUCAGCCUCUAAAUAAGAAGGUAUCAUUAAUUAUCACUGUAUCUGGAUCUUGUUCUUGUAUAUAGUCAUAUCUCAACAAUCUCUAUCUAAUGUUGUGACCUAGAUACUGUCGAGUAAGGGGGAUAUGGGUGUCUUUAUAAGUACCAAGAGAGAAACCACAGUACCCAUGUAUGCCAUUGUUCUCAUUUAAGGUGGUGCAUGAUUUGUAAUUUUCUUUGAGUUUUUUUUUUUUUUUUUGCAAGUGUUUCCUUACCAUUAUCAUUUUAAACUUCCCAACAGGAAUUUGAUUUCCAGACAGACAAGAGCCUUCAGCAGAAUCCACCAAUAGAACUGUUCAAGAAGCUCUCGUUGAAGUCUGAACUUCAGCAGCAGAAUACCAUAGCUGAGUCGGCAUUGUCUCAUCCCACUCGUAUAUUGAUUAAGGGCUCAAAGGAGAAUAGAUAUUCUUUACAACAACAAAACAAGAUCUCAGACAUGAGUAAAGAAAAACUGCAAAGGCAUGGGGCAAAGCAGACUCAAUAUUACUCAUGUAUUAGAGACCAUGAUUCCUAAGGACUUCUUAAAUUGCCAGAGAAUAGGGAAGGUGCUGACUGCAAAAGCAAAGGUCCGCGAUGGGCAAGUGUAAAUUUGGGAAUCUUCAUCUGCAUGCAAUGUUCCAGAAUCCACAGAAGUCUAGGAGUACACAUAUCAAAGGAACAACAUUGGUGCAGUUAUCUUGCUCUAGGCACCUGUAGUCUUAAUUGCAUUGUGGAAUAUGCAUCCAUUAUUCAAAGAAAGGGCGACAUUUUAAGCACU